rnacentral:rRNA from 1 species
UACGUAGGGACCGAGCGUUGUCCGGAUUCAUUGGGCGUAAAGGGCUCGUAGGCGGCUGCUCAAGUCGAAUGUGAAAACUCGAGGCUCAACCUCGAGCCUGCAUUCGAUACUGGGCGGCUAGAGUCUGGUAGGGGGAUCUGGAAUUCCUGGUGUAGCGGUGAAAUGCGCAGAUAUCAGGAAGAACACCCGUGGCGAAGGCGGCUCUCUGGGACGGUACUGACGCUGAGACGCGAAAGCGUGGGGAGCAAACAGG